rnacentral:lncRNA from 1 species
AUUGUAUUUAAAAGAACCAUCUGUAGCAGAAACAAUGGCAUCAAAUUAUCUUUGAAUACCCACUGAAAAAAACAUAAAGCUUUUUUUUUUAUUCUUCUUCUGUACGGUGGGGGGAUAGAGCAGUGUUAGGAUAACUGACUUUUUUGUUGUUCUCUGGGUGCAUUCUUCUCGCUCCCCCUCUCUCCCCCUCACCCUCUCUCUCUUCUCUCUCUCCCUCUCCCUCUCUCUCUCUCUCUCUCUUUUAAAAAAUCAGCCAUUUGGGGUUUUAAGCCAUAAACGAUUUUUCUUGUUGCAGGGGAUUGCAGUGGCAAAGCUAGGCUAGGUCUUGGAAGCUGGUGUAAGGCGAUGCGGGUGAAGGCAGGAGGCUGAUGGAAAGACUGGGGGGAAGAAAAGCCGAAAUGGAUUCACGGUGCCUUGGAUGAAGGACGAGAGGGGAACUGCAAGCUCCUUCAACUGGUUCUGUCCGGUGAGAAGUGAUCAAGCUUGGGCUGACAAGAGGCUCAGGGAACCCUCACGUUCUUUCGCUUUUUUACCUGCCAAUCAAACUGCUACAAGACAACACCCUGAUCUGGCAUGGACAUAUCCAACUUAGAAAUAAUGUUUCAUUCAAGAUAAGGCUCGUGGUUUAGGAGAUUGUGACCUGGCUUGCAUCAUUCUAAGACUUCUAUCAUCGGUUUUCAAAACCCAAGGAGGACCUCAUUCUCUGUGUGAUAGUUCCUCAUGCUUUGCCAGCCACUGGGUCUUUAAGGAAGCUUGCCAAGAGUUCCCAGCUGGGAAGGACAGUUCGAGUUCAUCAUAGACAGUGAGCUGGCACCACAGUUUAAGUGACUCACCAACCUGGUUGUCCACUUCAAAAUGUCAAGAACCACACUAUCUAAUUGAAAGAACUGUGUUUUAGCAAAGUGUAAUUGGAUCGCAUGGCAAGAUCAUCUCAAACUAUGUCUCUGACCUUGCCUUUCAGUGGCUGUUUGGAGCACAAGAGGAGAAAGGAAAUGAUUCCUGAAUUACAUAUUGCUUUUAAAAAUUAAGAUUAAUUAGUGGCCGGGCGCGGUGGCUCAAGCCUGUAAUCCCAGCACUUUGGGAGGCCGCGACGGGUGGAUCACGAGGUCAGGAGAUCAAGACCAUCCUGGCUAACACGGUGAAACCCCGUCUCUACUAAAAAACACAAAAAACUAGUCAAGGAGGUGGGCGUGGCUUCAGUCCCAGCUACCGAGGCUGAGGCAGGAGAAUGGCGUGAAACCCGGGAGGCGGAGCUUGCAGUGAGCUGAGAUCUGGCCACUGCACUCCAGCCUGGGUGACAGAGCAAGACUCCAUCUCAAAAAAAAAAAAAAACAAAUUAAGAUUAAUUAAUAAAUACUUGGUUUAUGUUCAUUCCAUUGUAGAACUUAAUGAUUUAUUACAAAACAGUCAAAAUAGGGUCAUAGCAAAAUGAACAUUUAAGAUUAGGUUAAAACAUUAUAACACGUAACUGUUCUAGCAAUAACAANNNNNNNNNNNNNNNNNNNNNNNNNNNNNNNNNNNNNNNNNNNNNNNNNNNNNNNNNNNNNNNNNNNNNNNNNNNNNNNNNNNNNNNNNNNNNNNNNNNNNNAAAAAAAAAAAAAACAAAUUAAGAUUAAUUAAUAAAUACUUGGUUUUAUGUUCAUUCCAUUGUAGGAACUUAAUGAUUUAUUACAAAACAGUCAAAAUAGGUCAUAGCAAAAUGAACAUUUAAGAUUAGGUUAAAACAUUCCUCUGAAAUUUUAGUAUUCACUUUUGAAGUGUCAAUUACUAUAUUAUAUGAAAAAUGAUAUUUGAAUCAAAGACAUUGUUUUUUCAUAUAGCCACUCCUUUCUAAAAUGCAAAUCCGCCGGGCGCGGUGGCUCAAGCCUGUAAUCCCAGCACUUUGGGAGGCUGAGACGGGCGGAUCACAAGGUCAGGAGAUCGAGACCAUCCUGGCUAACACGGUGAAACCCCGUCUCUACUAAAAAAUACAAAAAACUAGCCGGGCGAGGUGGCGGGCGCCUGUGGUCCUAGCUACUCCGGAGGCUGAGACAGGAGAAUGGCGUAAACCCGGGAGGCGGAGCUUGCAGUGAGCUGAGAUCCGGCCACUGCACUCCAGCCUGGGGGACAGAGCCAGACUCAGUCUCAAAAAAAAAAAAAAAAUAAAUUAAAAAAAAAAUAAAAUAAAAUGCAAAUCCACCCUCCCCUCACCCGUGCUUUAUUAUUUAUACAUACACACACCCACAGACACACACAGAGCCAGCACCCAAACAGUAGAGGAGGUCCUUUCAAGACUUCUAGGACCUGGAUCAUGUAAGUAGUAGAUGAGAAAAUGAAGUAAGAGGUAUAGAGCAAUAACAAUAAAAGUCAAUGAUUUCAUUUUACAAAAAGUCAUUGUGUAGUACUCAGAUAUUUUUAAAAGCAAGUAUUAUUAUGACUCAAGUAUAUCAUACUUCUAAAUUAUUAUGAUUCUCAUCUAAUUUCAAGCCACAUAUAGGAGCCAUUUGAAAGCAUUUUGUAUUACAACCUAUCAACAAAAAUCAGCUAAUAGUUUUAUAAUGUGCAUAAAUUUACCCCAUGGGGAAUUAAAAUUUUUAUCUGCAAGUAUUUCUAUUGUUGUGAGACUUUAGGACAAGACAACAUUUGGUAUUAACAUAGAAGAAUAGGCCGGGCGCGGUGGCUCAAGCCUGUAAUCCCAGCACUUUGGGAGGCCGAGACGGGCGGAUCACAAGGUCAGAAGAUCGAGACCAUCCUGGC